rnacentral:rRNA from 1 species
UACGGAGGGGGCUAGCGUUGUUCGGAAUUACUGGGCGUAAAGCGCACGUAGGCGGCUUUGUAAGUUAGAGGUGAAAGCCUGGAGCUUAACUCCAGAACUGCCUUUAAGACUGCAUCGCUUGAAUCCGGGAGAGGUGAGUGGAAUUCCGAGUGUAGAGGUGAAAUUCGUAGAUAUUCGGAAGAACACCAGUGGCGAAGGCGGCUCUCUGGUCUGUAACUGACGCUGAGGCGCGAAAGCGUGGGGAGCAAACAGG